rnacentral:rRNA from 1 species
CGGCAACAGCUCAAAUUUGAAAUCUGGCCCCGGGCCCGAGUUGUAAUUUGGAGAAGAUGCCUCGGGGGCAGGCCCGGCCUAAGUUCCCUGGAACGGGACGUCGCAGAGGGUGAGAACCCCGUACGCGGCCGGCGGCUGCCCCUGUGUGAGGCUCUUUCGAC